ACCCGUGAUGAGAAUCAGGAUAUAGGAAGUGCCGUCUGAUGCGAUAACUGACGACUUCUCCUGCUCUGAGA
rnacentral:snoRNA from 1 species